AUUGAACGCUGGCGGUAUGCUUAACACAUGCAAGUCGAACGGUAGCAGGCCUUCGGGCGCUGACGAGUGGCGGACGGGUGAGUAACGCGUAGGAAUCUGCCUCAUAGUGGGGGACAACGUGGGGAAACUCACGCUAAUACCGCAUACGCCCUACGGGGGAAAGCGGGGGCUCUUCGGACCUCGCGCUAUGAGAUGAGCCUGCGUUAGAUUAGCUAGUUGGUAGGGUAACAGCCUACCAAGGCGACGAUCUAUAGCUGGUCUGAGAGGACGAUCAGCCACACUGGGACUGAGACACGGCCCAGACUCCUACGGGAGGCAGCAGUGGGGAAUAUUGGACAAUGGGCGCAAGCCUGAUCCAGCAAUACCGCGUGUGUGAAGAAGGCCCUAGGGUUGUAAAGCACUUUCAAUUGGGAGGAAAACCUGCCGGUCAAUACCCGGCAGCUUGACAUUACCUUUAGAAGAAGCACCGGCUAACUCCGUGCCAGCCGCCGCAGUAAUAC
rnacentral:rRNA from 1 species